rnacentral:lncRNA from 1 species
UUUCAUUAUAUCAUUUUUCAAUUCUUCUAUUUUUUGCUCUAAACACUCUACUAACCAGAUCAGGCCUAUUUUGUACCUCAUCAGUCGAUAUAAGUUUUUCUUCUAUUUCGGGCCAAGAAGGAUUACAUGUUAUAGUCGAAAAUAUAUCAGGCUUUCCAAAACGUUGCACUAAUGCAAUAGCAUCCAUAUACCGUCUACGCAUAUCUCUUGGACCUCCAGUAAAGCUAAGUGGAAGUAUGCGUUGUUUUCCUAUAUGUGAAGCUUCUCUUUCCCCCUUACAUAAAACAUCCAAAAUUCCAUCUAACACAUCUGUUCUAAUUAAAUCUUGAUUAAAAGAAGCAAAGUCUAAUCGUUGGCUUUCAAUUUUUAUCCAUUCAUCUACUACAUAUUGUUGGAAUAAUCUUCCUGCAUGCAAGACUAUAUUUUCAUCAUCUCUUAUUUGAAGUUUGUAACAAUAAUAUUCACGACAAGAAAUAGUGUC